rnacentral:rRNA from 1 species
UACGUAGGCAGCGAGCGUUGUUCGGAAUUACUGGGCGUAAAGCGCACGUAGGCGGAUAUUUAAGUCAGGGGUGAAAUCCCGGGGCUCAACCCCGGAACUGCCUUUGAUACUGGGUAUCUGGAGGUCGAGAGAGGCGAGUGGAAUUCCGAGUGUAGAGGUGAAAUUCGUAGAUAUUCGGAGGAACACCAGUGGCGAAGGCGGCUCGCUGGCUCGAUACUGACGCUGAGGUGCGAAAGCGUGGGGAGCAAACAGG